rnacentral:rRNA from 1 species
UACAGAGGGGGCAAGCGUUGUUCGGAAUUACUGGGCGUAAAGGGCGCGUAGGCGGCCUUCUAAGUCGAACGUGAAAUCCCCGGGCUCAACCCCGGGAACUGCGUCCGAUACUGGAAGGCUUGAAUCCGGGAGAGGGAUGCGGAAUUCCAGGUGUAGCGGUGAAAAUGCGUAGAUAUCUGGAGGAACACCGGUGGCGAAGGCGGCAUCCUGGACCGGAUUGACG